rnacentral:rRNA from 1 species
UUCGGUUUCGUUCUAGCGGCGAACGGUCGCGUAACACGUAGGCAACCUGCCCGAAAGACCGGGACAACAGUCCGAAAGGGCUGCUAAUACCGGAUGUGACCUUUCUGCGACAUCGCAGAGAGAUUAAAUCCCUGCAAGGGGGCUUUCGGAGGGGCCUGCGGCCUAUCAGCUAGAUGGCGGGGUAACGGCUCACCAUGGCGACGACGGGUAGCUGGUCUGAGAGGAUGGUCAGCCGGACCGGGACUGAGAUACGGCCCAGACUCCUACGGGGGGCAGCAAUUAGGAAUCUUGCGCAAUGGGCGAAAGCCUGACGCAGCGACGUCGCGUGGGGGAGGAAGGCCUUCGGGUUGUAAACCCCUUUUAACGAGGAAGAAACAAAUGACGGUACUCGUUGAAUAAGCCCCGGCUAACUCCGUGCCAGCAGCCGCGGUAAUACGGAGGGGGCGAGCGUUGUCCGAAGUUACUGGGCGUAAAGCGCGCGUAGGCGGGAGCAUAAGUCCGCUGUGAAAGCCCGAGGCUUAACCUCGGAGGGUCGGUGGAUACUGUGCUUCUUGAAGGUGCUAGGGGGAAAUGGAAUUACCGGUGUAGCGGUGAAAUGCGUAGAGAUCGGUAGGAACACCAGUGGCGAAGGCGGUUUCCUGGGGCAUUCUUGACGCUGAGGCGCGAAAGCUGGGGGAGCGAACGGGAUUAGAUACCCCGGUAGUCCCAGCCCUAAACGAUGGAUACUAGGUGUCGGGGGUAUCGACCCCUCCGGCGCCGGCGCUAACGCACUAAGUAUCCCGCCUGGGGAGUACGGCCGCAAGGUUGAAACUCAAAGGAAUUGACGGAAUCGAAUU